rnacentral:rRNA from 1 species
GACGUAGGGCGCGAGCGUUGUCCGGAUUUAUUGGGCGUAAAGAGCUCGUAGGCGGCUUGUUGCGUCGACCGUGAAAACCCGCGGCUUAACUGCGGGCUUGCGGUUGAUACGGGCGGGCUGGAGUUCGGUAGGGGAGACUGGAAUUCCUGGAGUAGCGGUGAAAUGCGCAGAUAUCAGGAGGAACACCGGUGGCGAAGGCGGGUCUCUGGGCCGAUACUGACGCUGAGGAGCGAAAGCGUGGGGAGCGAACAGG